rnacentral:rRNA from 1 species
UACGGGGGGAGCAAGCGUUGUUCGGAUUUACUGGGCGUAAAGGCGCGUAGGCGGUCAGCACAAGUCAGUUGUGAAUCUCCGGCUUAACUCGGAAAGGUCAACUGAUACUGUGCGACUAGAGUGCAGAAGGGCAACUGGAAUUCUCGGUGUAGCGGUGAAAUGCGUAGAUAUCGAGAGGAACACCUGCGGCGAAGGCGGUUGCUGGCUGACACUGACGCUGAUGCG